rnacentral:rRNA from 1 species
CGCGGCCUAUCAGCUUGUUGGUGAGGUAAAGGCUCACCAAGGCAUUGACGGGUAGCUGGUCUGAGAGGACGAUCAGCCACACUGGGACUGAGACACGGCCCAGACUCCUGCGGGAGGCAGCAGUGGGGAAUCUUGCGCAAUGGGCGAAAGCCUGACGCAGCAACGCCGCGUGGGGGAUGAAGGCUCUCGGGUUGUAAACCCCUUUCAGCAGGGACGAAGUUGACGGUACCUGUAGAAGAAGCCCCGGCCAACUACGUGCCAGCAGCCGCGGUAACACGUAGGGGGCGAGCGUUGUCCGGAAUUAUUGGGCGUAAAGGGCUCGUAGGCGGUUCGGUAAGUCAGAUGUGAAAGGUUGGGGCUCAACCCUAAGACUGCAUUUGAUACUGCCGUGACUAGAGUCCGGUAGAGGAGUGUGGAAUUCCUGGUGUAGCGGUGAAAUGCGCAGAUAUCAGGAGGAACACCGACGGCGAAAGCAGCACUCUGGGCCGGUACUGACGCUGAGGAGCGAAAGCGUGGGUAGCAAACAGGAUUAGAUACCCUGGUAGUCCACGCCGUAAACGUUGGGCACUAGGUGUGGGACCUUAUCAACGGGUUCCGUGCCGUAGCUAACGCAUUAAGUGCCCCGCCUGGGGAGUACGG